rnacentral:rRNA from 1 species
AAGGCAUCUUCUAAGAAAGAAAGGAUUUAUUCGGUAAAAGAUGGGCCCGCAUCUGAUUAGCUAGUUGGUGAGAUAAUAGCCCACCAAGGCAACGAUCAGUAGCCGACCUGAGAGGGUGACCGGCCACAUUGGGACUGAGACACGGCCCAAACUCCUACGGGAGGCAGCAGUGGGGAAUAUUGCACAAUGGGGGAAACCCUGAUGCAGCAACGCCGCGUGAAGGAAGACGGUUUUCGGAUUGUAAACUUCUAUCAAUAGGGAAGAAAGGAAUGACGGUACCUAAAUAAGAAGCCCCGGCUAACUACGUGCCAGCAGCCGCGGUAAUACGUAGGGGGCAAGCGUUAUCCGGAAUUACUGGGUGUAAAGGGAGAGUAGGCGGCAAGGUAAGCGAUAUGUGAAAGCCUUAGGCUUAACCUGAGGAUAGCAUAACGAACUAUCUAGCUAGAGUACAGGAGAGGAAAGCGGAAUUCUUAGUGUAGCGGUGAAAUGCGUAGAUAUUAGGAAGAACACCAGUGGCGAAGGCGGCUUUCUGGACUGAAACUGACGCUGAGGCUCGAAAGCGUGGGGAGCGAACAGGAUUAGAUACCCUGGUAGUCCACGCUGUAAACGAUGAGUGCUAGGUGUCGGGGAGGAAUCCUCGGUGCCGGAGCAAACGC